CAGCCGCCGCGGGAAUACGUAGGGUGCAAGCGUUAAUCGGAAUUACUGGGCGUAAAGCGUGCGCAGGCGGUUUGUUAAGACAGAUGUGAAAUCCCCGGGCUCAACCUGGGAACUGCGUUUGUGACUGGCAAGCUAGAGUGUGGCAGAGGGGGGUGGAAUUCCGCGUGUAGCAGUGAAAUGCGUAGAUAUGCGGAGGGACACCGAUGGCGAAGGCAGCCCCCUGGGCCAACACUGACGCUCAUGCACGAAAGCGUGGGGAGCAAACAGGAUUAGAGACCCCAGUAGUCCCUGUCUCUUAUAC
rnacentral:rRNA from 1 species